rnacentral:rRNA from 1 species
GACAGAGGGUGCAAACGUUGUUCGGAAUUACUGGGCGUAAAGCGCACGUAGGCGGCUUGGUAUGUCGGGUGUGAAAUCCCCGGGCUCAACCUGGGAAUGGCAUUUGGGACUGCAAGGCUUGAGUGUGGCAGAGGAGACUGGAAUUCCUGGUGUAGCAGUGAAAUGCGUAGAUAUCAGGAGGAACACCGAUGGCGAAGGCAGGUCUCUGGGCUAACACUGACGCUCAUGCACGAAAGCGUGGGGAGCAAACAGG